rnacentral:rRNA from 1 species
GACGAAGGGGGCUAGCGUUGUUCGGAAUUACUGGGCGUAAAGCGAGUGUAGGCGGUUGCCACAGUCAGGUGUGAAAGCCUUGAGCUCAACUCAAGAAAUGCACUUGAUACUGGGCGGCUAGAGGACCGGAGAGGAUAGUGGAAUUCCCAGUGUAGUGGUGAAAUACGUAGAGAUUGGGAAGAACACCAGUGGCGAAGGCGGCUAUCUGGACGGUUACUGACGCUAAGACUCGAAAGCGUGGGGAGCAAACAGG